GACGAACGCUGGCGGCGUGCUUAACACAUGCAAGUCGAACGGUGAAGGGACCAGCUUGCUGGUUCUGGAUGAGUGGCGAACGGGUGAGUAACACGUGAGUAACCUGCCCCCUUCUUCUGGAUAACCGCAUGAAAGUGUGGCUAAUACGGGAUAUUCUGGGUCUGUCGCAUGGCGGGCCCGGGAAAGAUAUUGCUUCGGUGGGGGAUGGGCUCGCGGCCUAUCAGCUUGUUGGUGGGGUGAUGGCCUACCAAGGCGGUGACGGGUAGCCGGCCUGAGAGGGUGGACGGUCACACUGGGACUGAGACACGGCCCAGACUCCUACGGGAGGCAGCAGUGGGGAAUAUUGCACAAUGGGCGCAAGCCUGAUGCAGCGACGCCGCGUGAGGGAGGGAGGCCUUCGGGUUGUAAACCUCUUUCGCCAGUGAAGCAGGCCUGCUCCUUGUGGGUGGGUUGACGGUAGCUGGAUAAGAAGCGCCGGCUAACUACGUG
rnacentral:rRNA from 1 species